GGUUCGGGAGUUGCCGGUGGGACGGCAGCGGGAAUGGAACCUGGCCCCCUUCAUUCGUGAGCGGCACGCGGCCGAACCCCGACGGCCUGCGUG
rfam:Tropicimonas sediminicola strain DSM 29339 genome assembly, contig: Ga0111647_114